rnacentral:rRNA from 1 species
GGCUAAACGGAAUCUUUUCUUUUUUUUAUUUAUAAUUAUUGAAUUUAAUUUUAGAUUUAAAAAGUUCUAUUAAUCUAAAGGGACGAGAAGACCCUAUAGAAUUUUAAAAGUUUAUUGUUCAUAGUUUUUUAAUUGGGGUGAUUUAAAAUUAACUUUUUUUAAUUUAUAUACAAUUUAAUUGUUAUUUAUGAUCUUAAAUUUUAGAUAAAAAGAUUUAAUUACCUUAGGGAUAACAGCAUAAUCUUUUUUGAAAGAUCAUAUUUAUAGAAAGGAUUAUGACCUCGAUGUUGAAUUAAAAUUAUAUUUAGGGGUAGAAUUUUAAAUAUAAAGUCUGUUCGACUUUAAAUUUUACAUGAUUUGAGUUCAAAUCGGCGUGAGCCAGGUUGGUUUCUAUCUUUUAAAAAUUU